UAAGGAAUAUUGGUCAAUGGACGCAAGUCUGAACCAGCCAUGCCGCGUGAAGGAUGAAGGUCCUCAGGAUUGUAAACUUCUUUUAUCUGGGACGAAAACGGGAUUUUUAUCUCAAUUGACGGUACCAGAGGAAUAAGCACCGGCUAACUCCGUGCCAGCAGCCGCGGUACUACGGAGGGUGCGAGCGUUCUCCGGAUUUACUGGGUUUAAAGGGUGCGUAGGUGGGCUUAUAAGUCAGUGGUGAAAUCUCCGAGCUUAACUUGGAAACUGCCGUUGNUACUAUAGGUCUUGAAUUAUCUGGAGGUAAGCGGAAUAUGUCAUGUAGCGGUGAAAUGCUUAGAUAUGACAUAGAACACCAAUUGCGAAGGCAGCUUACUACAUAUAAAUUGACGCUGAGGCACGAAAGCGUGGGGAUCAAACA
rnacentral:rRNA from 1 species